rnacentral:tRNA from 1 species
GACUCCGUGGCGCAACGGUAGCGCGUCCGACUCCCAGAAUCGGAAGGUGCGUGUUCAAACAUGUCGGCGUCA